rnacentral:rRNA from 1 species
GAUGAACGCUGGCGGCGUGCCUAAUACAUGCAAGUCGAGCGAACGGACGAGAAGCUUGCUUCUCUGAUGUUAGCGGCGGACGGGUGAGUAACACGUGGAUAACCUACCUAUAGGACUGGGAUAACUUCGGGAAACCGGAGCUAAUACCGGAUGAUAUUUUGAACCGCAUGGUUCAAAAGUGAAAGACGGUCUUGCUGUCACUUAUAGAUGGAUCCGCGCUGCAUUAGCUAGUUGGUAAGGUAACGGCUUACCAAGGCAACGAUGCAUAGCCGACCUGAGAGGGUGAUCGGCCACACUGGAACUGAGACACGGUCCAGACUCCUACGGGAGGCAGCAGUAGGGAAUCUUCCGCAAUGGGCGAAAGCCUGACGGAGCAACGCCGCGUGAGUGAUGAAGGUCUUCGGAUCGUAAAACUCUGUUAUUAGGGAAGAACAUAUGUGUAAGUAACUGUGCACAUCUUGACGGUACCUAAUCAGAAAGCCACGGCUAACUACGUG